UAUAAAUAAACAAACGUGCUAUCAGUUUAUCAGUAAUGUGUGUAGUGUAUGGAUGUGUGAAGGUGUAUGAAUGUUGGAACCCAAA